rnacentral:rRNA from 1 species
CUGCCUGCCCAGUGACACACGUUUAACGGCCGCGGUACCCUGACCGUGCAAAGGUAGCAUAAUCACUUGUUCUUUAAAUAGGGACUCGUAUGAAUGGCAUCACGAGGGUUUAACUGUCUCUUACUUUCAACCAGUGAAAUUGACCUGUCCGUGAAGAGACGGACAUGAAACAAUAAGACGAGAAGACCCUGUGGAGCUUCAAUUUAUUAGUACAACUAAAAACAACACAAACCAACAGGCCCUAAACCCCUACAUCUGUGCUAAAAAUUUUGGUUGGGGCGACCUCGGAGCACAACCAAACCUCCGAAUAAUCCACGCUAAGACUACACAAGUCAAAGCAAACUAACACCUACAAUUGACCCAAUAAUUUGAUCAACGGAACAAGUUACCCCAGGGAUAACAGCGCAAUUCUAUUCUAGAGUCCAUAUCAACAAUAGAGUUUACGACCUCGAUGUUGGAUCAGGAUAUCCUAAUGGUGCAGCAGCUAUCAAG